UUUUUAGUAUAAGUAUGUCCCAUGCUAUAUUUGAGACAUAAUUAUACUAAAC
rfam:Felis catus isolate Cinnamon breed Abyssinian chromosome A2, whole genome shotgun sequence.